AUUGCAUUUAGUAAAUAUUCAAAUGUUAGGGAUAUGGUAGGAUAAGGCUAAAAGAAAAAAAACUGGCUAUUGGUUUCAGAAAACUGCCAUAUCCCCACAUUUUAAGGAUGGUUUUGGCCAUGUAUUUUUGGACUAAAUUUCAGUAGAUAGGGAUGAUAAUAGCAUAAGGUUAUAACUGCCACUGUUUGUAUGAAUGUGCAUUGUAUGAUUGUGUUUAAGUCAGCCCUGAUCACAUAACAAGGUAACAGAAAUUGUCAUAUCAUUGUAUGUGUGCAACAAUUGUAGCCAGGCUGUUCACAAAGUUUGGUGAAAAUCUAUCAGUUAGAGAGGGCUGCAUCUCUGGUCACAUCAUUCUUACAUGUUUAUACAAUAUUAAAGUUUUUUUUGACACUGCUUAAAUAUUACGACUUUGAUACUGGUAACAUUAAAGUUGGUUAUGAAUAAACUGGUUAAAAAUAGAAUAAUAUUUCUUUGUGUUUCUUGUAUGCUUUAUAAUAUUUUGAUAAUCUUAGCUGUUAGGGAUGUGGUAGAAUAAUGCUAAGUUUUUAAUACUGGCUACAGGUUUUUCAUGAAAAGUACCAUAUCACCACAUUUCACUUAUAAGGGCAAUUUUGGCAACAUUUAUUCAUUUUUGUACUAAAUUUCAGAGAUAGGAAUAAUAUAGUUGCUGUAGAAAAAAAUAGGAAAAUUAACAUAUUAAUUAUUUUUGUAAGUUGUAUAUAAACAAAUAAAGUGUGUUUGAGCUGUGUGCAAGAAAUUUUGCGUGUGUUCCUGACUGCUGAUGAGAUACUUUUGCAAAAAGACUGCCAGAAAUUUUGGCUUUUUGGCUUGUAUAGAGACUGGCAGCUGACCUUGGACGUGUAGUAUACAUUUUUUUUAUUCUAGCCACUGUCAAACUUGACAGUCUUAAGGAUGCAAUACUACCAUGUCAUAGUGCUUGCACAUGAUAAUGUAGCAAGUUAAGCCAUUGAAGUUUGGAGAAAAUCCACAAAUUGUAAGUUUACUAGCAAGUUAAAGAAUGACACGAGUUUAGCUGUCAUAUUUUUCAGCAUUUUAGUUUAAACCAUUGUUGUUAAUUAUUGAGUUAUUUUAUCAUUUAUCAUAUAAAAAUCAUUCUAUAGGUCUGUGGUAGAAUGGGGCAGUUAUUUAAUCAUAAGGAUAGUAACUGGCUACAGGUCUACAUGUAAAACUACCACUUCUUGCAUUUAAUAAUCUUAUGUUAGUGAUAUGGUAGGAUAAAGAAAUACUGGCAACUGGUUUCAGAAAUCUACCAUAUCACAAUAUUUCAAGGGACGUUUUGGCCUCGCGGUGCUUUAAACAUUCUUAUUUUAUUUUCAGUAGCUGCACUGCCUGGAUUUUUGAACAUUUUUUAUCUAAAUUUCAAAAAGUAGGGAUGACAUGGUAGAAUAAAGUUUAAUGUCAGUGAUUGAAUUUUUAUUAAAAUAUCAAUAUGUAGGUAAAUUUUGACAUGUUUCAAGUAUAAAGGAUCAUAGAAUAAAUGGUAACUGAUUUUUUAUAAUAACACUGUUAAAUAUAGUGAAUGAAUGUUCAGUGAAUGAAUGAUGAUUGAAUUACUGAGCAAAAGGGGUGGAUGAAUGUUGAAUGAAUUAUCUUGUAAAACACCAUGAGUGAAUGGUGAAUGAAUUACCUUGUAAAACACAGUGUUUGAAUACUAAAUUCAAAAUUGCUUUUUAAACAAUGGACAGACUGUAGUUAAAGCAGUGAUAUUGUAAAACAGUGGCAGUAUUAGAUUUUGUUGUCACAGGAGUUACAAUUGAAAUUUGAUUAAAUUUAUAAGCAGGUUUAUUUUGUAACAUACAUUGUGGAAAGUUCUUUUAGUAGGUUUAAUUAAUACUGACAAGGUCUUUUAGUUGGUUUAAUUUAUAAAAUACAGUGGCAAGGUAUUUUAGUUAGUUCAGUUUGUAACACAGUGGCAAUGACUUUUAGUGGGUUUGAUUUGUAAAAUACAGUGGCAAGAUCUUUUAAUGGGAUUAAGUUUCAAGGUGUUUAAGUGGAUUUAAGACUGUUUAGUCUGUAUAAGGGAUAUAACUGUGUUGAGUUUUCAUAUAUUUGCAUAUUCUGCCUGGCUAAACCUAUUAGUGGUAUUUAUCUUGGAAAUAUUUUUCUUUUUUCAAAUAAUUGUAUAUUGUCAGUCUCAAGUUCUUUUCUUUCUCUUGCUUAAUUUUUUCAAGGCAAAUGUCUGAAUUCUAGAGUUAAGACCAAUGAAUCAGUCAUUUUGGCAUGCUUGUUCAAAGAUUAAUUCAAAAACUAGUUACUGUAAUUAAAAUGACAGAAAUGAAAUUUAUAAUUGUGCCUGUAGAUUUAAGGCCCUCCACAUUUGUGAUAUUUUUAUGCCCCCGAAGGGAGGCAUAUAGUUUUUGAACCAUCUGUCGGUCUGUCAGUCUGUCCGCAAUUUUCGUGUCCGGUCCAUAUCUUUGUCAUCGAUGGAUGGAUUUUCAAAUAACUUGGCAUGAAUGUGUACCACAGUAAGACGUGUCGCGCGCAAGACCCAGGUCCGUAGCUCAAAGGUCAAGGUCACACUUAGACGUUAAAGGUCACUUUUCAUGAUAGUGCAUUCGUGUCCGGUCCAUAUCUUUGUCAUCCAUGGAUGGAUUUUCAAAUAACUUGGCAUGAAUGUGUACCACAGUAAGACGUGUCGCGCGCAAGACCCAGGUCCGUAGGUCAAAGGUCCUAAACUCUAACAUCGGCCAUAACUAUUCAUUCAAAGUGCCAUCGGGGGCAUGUGUCAUCCUAUGGAGACAGCUCUUGUUUAUUAU